rnacentral:rRNA from 1 species
UUUUUGGAGAGUUUGAUCCUGGCUCAGGACGAACGCUGGCGGCGUGCCUAAUACAUGCAAGUCGAGCGGACCAAUAGAAGCUUGCUUCUAUUGGUUAGCGGCGGACGGGUGAGUAACACGUGGGCAACCUGCCUGUAAGACUGGGAUAACUUCGGGAAACCGGAGCUAAUACCGGAUAAUUCACCCCCUCGCAUGAGGGAGUGUUGAAAGUCGGUUCGCGCUGACACUUACAGAUGGGCCCGCGGCGCAUUAGCUAGUUGGUGAGGUAAUGGCUCACCAAGGCGACGAUGCGUAGCCGACCUGAGAGGGUGAUCGGCCACACUGGGACUGAGACACG